AGUAACGCGUGAGGAACCUGCCUCAAAGAGGGGGACAACAGUUGGAAACGACUGCUAAUACCGCAUAAGCCCACAGCUCGGCAUCGAGCAGAGGGAAAAGGAGUGAUCCGCUUUGAGAUGGCCUCGCGUCCGAUUAGCUAGUUGGUGAGGUAACGGCCCACCAAGGCGACGAUCGGUAGCCGGACUGAGAGGUUGAACGGCCACAUUGGGACUGAGACACGGCCCAG
rnacentral:rRNA from 1 species